AAGCGUUUAUGACCAGACUUGGGCUUGGUUAAUCAUCUGGGGUUCUCCCCAGUGCACUUUUCCAGUCCAGGCCAGCAUCAGUUUUCCCCGGGGGAUAAAGGCUUCGGGAACGUGGCUCCCUCGGGAGUGUUAUAGCCCGUUGCACAAUACCC
rnacentral:rRNA from 1 species